UCCAUGGUAACCACUCAUGACAUCACAAACACAAUGUGAUAGCAGAAGAAAUAAGAGCUCCUGAGACCUUGUUGGAUACAAAUGCCCUGUACGACCUAAGGGCCUCCACGGCAGGAACAAAAGGAAUUUUGUCUUGAGACCUUUGCAGAAAAGUAAUUUUUGAAAUCUAUUCUUGGAUUUUGACAUUUAUUGGAUUUCAAAGCUUCUUGUUGCCCUGUGAAUAUGGUCAAAGGUCCAUGAAAUUUCCAAAGUGGUACCACAGCAGAUGAACCUGAAUAUAAACUGGAGGGACCAACAGAGUCCAGCCUACAGACAUAAAUCCUUAACUACACCUAGACCUCACUGUCCUUUCUGGUGGUCAAAGGAGGGGGCUCUUGAAAUGGCUCCAUUGCUUUAUAGAAAACAAGGAAAUCAAGCUGCAAGGAUAUGACUGGGUCUAUUAAAAUUGAAGGUCAAGGAUGAAAACAACAAGGGGAUCUGAGGCUUUCCUCAACUUUCUCUCCAGGGUCACCAACAUCUCUAACAGAAUCCAGCUGUGGAAUAGAAAAAAUAUUUCAUCUAAGAAGUGUAUCCUAGUUGUCAAAUGAAAAAUCACUGUUGAAUGCUGUAAAGUACAUUUUUACACCCAUGUAAAACUUACAGCUUGGGAACUCAUGGAAAAAUUACAUCCAACAUGGAUAAAGGGAUUUUAAAAGUUGGUCUCCAGAGUCGAUGUUCCUACAACUGUUGCAUCAGUUUCCUCACGAUUCUGAAACAUUUGGGUUUGAAACGCAAGCGAGAAAAUAAAACUCGCGCUCUCCAAAGACUACAGUGGCCGGGGGAAAGCCAGUGGACUUCAGGGACUACUUGAAAGGAAUAUCAGUAUAGUUCAUUUCUUUUACCUGAAAUGAUUCUAGGUAAAAGUCCUAUGGGAUAGGUGACUGGUUGAAAAUGUAUCUCUCACUGAGUUGUCCUUUUUUAGUUUUAUAG